rnacentral:rRNA from 1 species
UACGAAGGGUGCAAACGUUGCUCGGAAUUAUUGGGCGUAAAGCGCACGUAGGCGGCUCUGCAAGUCGGAUGUGAAAUCCCUCGGCUCAACCGAGGACGUGCAUCCGAAACUGCGGAGCUUGAGUAUGGAAGAGGGUCGCGGAAUCCCCGGUGUAGAGGUGAAAUUCGUAGAUAUCGGGGGGAACACCAGUGGCGAAGGCGGCGACCUGGGCCAAUACUGACGCUGAGGUGCGAAAGCGUGGGGAGCAAACAGG